CACCGCCCGUCACACCAUGGGAGUUGACUGCUCCAGAAGUGGCUUGGAUAACCGCAAGGAGUCCGGCCCUAAGGAGUGCUCAAUGACUGGGGUG
rnacentral:rRNA from 1 species